GACGAACGCUGGCGGCGUGCUUAACACAUGCAAGUCGAACGAUGAAAGCGGAGCUUGCUCCGCUGGAUUAGUGGUGAACGGGUGAGUAACACGUGGGCAACCUGCCCCAGACUCUGGGAUAACUCCCCGAAAGAGGUGCUAAUACCGGAUACGAACUCCUUGGGCAUCCUUGGAGUUGGAAAGUUUUUCGGUCUGGGAUGGGCCCGCGGCCUAUCAGCUUGUUGGUGGGGUAGUGGCCCACCAAGGCGACGACGGGUAGCCGGCCUGAGAGGGCGACCGGCCACACUGGGACUGAGACACGGCCCAGACUCCUACGGGAGGCAGCAGUGGGGAAUAUUGCGCAAUGGGCGAAAGCCUGACGCAGCGACGCCGCGUGAGGGAUGACGGCCUUCGGGUUGUAAACCUCUUUCAGCAGGGAAGAAGCGAAAGUGACGGUACCUGCAGAAGAAGCACCGGCUAACUACGUGCCAGCAGCCGCAGUAA
rnacentral:rRNA from 1 species